AUUGAACGCUGGCGGCAUGCCUUACACAUGCAAGUCGAACGGCAGCACGGGAGCAAUCCUGGUGGCGAGUGGCGAACGGGUGAGUAAUAUAUCGGAACGUGCCCAGUCGUGGGGAUAACGUAGCGAAAGCUACGCUAAUACCGCAUACGAUCUAUGGAUGAAAGCGGGGGAUCGCAAGACCUCGCGCGAUUGGAGCGGCCGAUAUCAGAUUAGGUAGUUGGUGAGGUAAAGGCUCACCAAGCCGACGAUCUGUAGCUGGUCUGAGAGGACGACCAGCCACACUGGGACUGAGACACGGCCCAGACUCCUACGGGAGGCAGCAGUGGGGAAUUUUUGGACAAUGGGCGCAAGCCUGAUCCAGCAAUGCCGCGUGCAGGAUGAAGGCCUUCGGUU
rnacentral:rRNA from 1 species